rnacentral:rRNA from 1 species
AGUAACGCGUGGGUAACCUGCCAUAUACAGGGGGAUAACACUUAGAAAUAGGUGCUAAUACCGCAUAAGCGCACAGUAUUGCAUGAGACAGUGUGAAAAACUACGGUGGUAUAUGAUGGACCCGCGUCUGAUUAGCUGGUUGGUGAGGUAACGGCCCACCAAGGCGACGAUCAGUAGCCGGCCUGAGAGGGUGGACGGCCACAUUGGGACUGAGACACGGCCCAGACUCCUACGGAAGGCAGCAG